GAUGAACGCUGGCGGCGUGCCUAAUACAUGCAAGUCGAGCGAACAGACGAGGAGCUUGCUCCUCUGACGUUAGCGGCGGACGGGUGAGUAACACGUGGAUAACCUACCUAUAAGACUGGGAUAACUUCGGGAAACCGGAGCUAAUACCGGAUAAUAUAUUGAACCGCAUGGUUCAAUAGUGAAAGACGGUUUUGCUGUCUCUUAUAGAUGGAUCCGCGCCGCAUUAGCUAGUUGGUAAGGUAACGGCUUACCAAGGCGACGAUGCGUAGCCGACCUGAGAGGGUGAUCGGCCACACUGGAACUGAGACACGGUCCAGACUCCUACGGGAGGCAGCAGUAGGGAAUCUUCCGCAAUGGGCGAAAGCCUGACGGAGCAACGCCGCGUGAGUGAUGAAGGUCUUCGGAUCGUAAAACUCUGUUAUGAGGGAAGAACAAAUGUGUAAGUAACUAUGCACGUCUUGACGGUACCUAAUCAGAAAGCCACGGCUAACUACGUG
rnacentral:rRNA from 1 species